rnacentral:rRNA from 1 species
CCUACGGGAGGCAGCAGCCGCGGUAAUAUUGCGCAAUGGAGGAAACUCUGACGCAGUGACGCCGCGUAUAGGAUGAAGGUUUUCGGAUUGUAAACUAUUGUCAUUAGGGAAGAUAAAAGACAGUACCUAAGGAGGAAGCUCCGGCUAACUACGUGCCAGCAGCCGCGGUAAU